GCUGGGCGCGGUGGCUCACGCCUGUAAUCCCAGCACUUUGGGAGGCUGAGGCAGGAGGAUCACCUGAGGUCAGGAGUUGGAGACCAGCCUGGCCAACAUGGAGAAACCCUGUCUCUA
ensembl:misc_RNA Metazoa_SRP Metazoan signal recognition particle RNA